UACGGGAUAAUAUAUUUGAGAGGCAUCUCUUGAAUAUCAAAGGUGAGCCAGUACAGGAUGGACCCGCGUCUGAUUAGCUAGUUGGUAAGGUAACGGCUUACCAAGGCGACGAUCAGUAGCCGACCUGAGAGGGUGAUCGGCCACAUUGGAACUGAGACACGGUCCAAACUCCUACGGGAGGCAGCAGUGGGGAAUAUUGCACAAUGGGCGAAAGCCUGAUGCAGCAACGCCGCGGGAGUGAUGAAGGCCUUCGGGUCGUAAAACUCUGUCCUCAAGGAAGAUAAUGACGGUACU
rnacentral:rRNA from 1 species